GAAAGUCCCUAACCUGGAACACUGCAGCUAAAAUGCUUUGUCAUGCCUGACGCACAGAAGAUCUUGCAAGCUGCUUCAGGGCAGAAACCACAUGGGCCAGGUUCCCAACUAGAAGAUGCACAUGGGAAGUGUUUACUAAGUGGAUCUGUUGGAGAAGGAGCGAAAGACAUGGAGUGCUUCUGGCCACCUGAGCUAGAGUGGUUCAGCCCUCAGCAUACAACUGCUUUGGCUCCAACCGAAUCUCUCCACCUUCCAUUUGACUAAGAACUGUCCUGCAUCUAACGCUGC